CUGCAAUGGUUAGUUUUUGCUGCUCUGAUAUUCCAACGUCAUUCUUCGAUGCAAAGGUUUCAUUGUCAAAUUUGGAGACCCUGAAAUUAAGCUCGAUUAAUUUGGAGAAAAUUUGGGAUGAUCAUCAACAUUCAACAGCCACUUCUUUCCGAAAUCUAGUUAAUUUAAUCGUGAAGGACUGUGGCAGCCUGAAAUAUUUAUUCUCACCUUUUAUGGUUGAAAAUCUAGAAAAUCUCAAACGGCUUGAAAUAAGUAAAUGCCACGCGAUGGAGGAGAUAAUGGCCAUAGAAGUAAGUAACAAUGAGAUUACACUGGCUCAAGAUCAGGCUGGGUUUCCCAAAUUGGAGGAGAUCAUAAUAAAUGACAUGAAGAACUUGAAGAGAGCAUGGCACUACCAAUUUGGCAGAUCGAAGACAAUGGAAGUGAACAAAUGUGAGAAACUGGAGACUGUUUUUCCAUCGGGCUCCAUGCUUGAAGCACUAAGAAGUCUUGAGACGUUGAGGGUCAAAGAUUGUGCUUCAGUUGAAGAGAUAUUCGAACUCACCACUGCUGAUGGAAUGCAUGCUCAAGAAGUGACAGCACAGCUGAAAAAUCUAGAAAUAAGUGGACUGCCAGAGAUGAAACGGAUAUGGAGCAAGGAUCCCCAAGGACUUGUUCGCUUUUCCAAUCUAGAACUCGUGGAUAUUGCGGGCUGUUACAAGCUGGAAUAUAUCUUCCCCUUCUCCAUUGCUAAGGAUCUUCCACCAACUUCAACAUCUCAGACUAGUUUUGUGUAAGAUCAAGGAAGUUGUUUCGAAGAAGGAUGGAUCAUUGGAUGAAACUACCAUAUUUGAGCUUACUCAUCUCACCUCCCUGGUCCUAGGAUAUUUGCCUAAACUCAAGGGAUUCUAUGCAGGGGUUCAUACAUUAGAAUGUCAAUCCUUGGUAAGGUUGCAAGUGUUGGAUUGUCCACAUUUAAAGGUAUUCAAUCCGCGUGCAAAUAGAUGCCGGCAAAGUUUUGCUGAUGACCGAUUUCACUUCUCAAUGCAACAAUAUCUAUUUACAGUUAAUGAAGAGGUGACUGGCAACUUGGAUUCUUUGUACCUGCAAUAUUGGGAUGCUAACGUCAUAUUGCAUCACCAAGUUCCCUCGUACCUACCGCAAACUCAAACAUCUUUGGAUAUUUGCUUUUCAAGAUGAUCAAGCAAGUGCUCUGCUUCGGUUUCUCAAAAAUGUACCUAGUCUCGAAAGGCUAAAUGUUUCAUUUAGCUCCACAAAGGAGAUAUUUUAUGAUGAAUUGCUAACACAUGAGGAAGAACGGAACAAAAUUAACACCCGGCUUAAAGCAUUGCGGCUACAGCGUUCACCGAAGCUUCAGAAUUUAUGUAGAGAAGGAAGUCAAAUUCACCCUGUUCUUGAGGUUCUUGAAGUCUUAAUGGUGGAAGAAUGUUCCAGUUUAAGAAAUUUAGUCCCUUCCUCUGCAACUUUCUACCACUUGACAUAUCUGGUGGUAAUACAGUGCAACAGUUUGAAAAGCCUAAUGACCUCAUCAACGGCGGGAAGUCUUUUCAACUUGCAAAGGAUGAAAAUAGAAGAGUGUGAUUCGCUGGAAGAAAUUGUGACAGAAGAGGUGGAUGGGGCAAAAAAUGAAAUUGCAUUUAAUAGUUUGUUAAGUUUAGAGCUAAAUUAUUUGCCAAGGCUCCGUGGUUUUUCAUCAAGCAAGUGCCCCUUCAAGUUCCCAUGGUUGGAGAGAUUUGUUGUUAGCCAAUGUCCUCAGAUGCAAAUUUUCUCAGACAAAGCAAUAAGUGCACCAAAGCUUAGGACAACACUAGCGGAGGGAGAAUCUUACUGGGAAGGAGACUUAAAUGAAACGAUUAGGAAGAUGUUUCUGAACAAGGUGGCAUUUUGUAGCUUCAAGCAUUUAGAGCUUUCGAAAUAUCCGGAGUUAAGAGGAUUGUGGUAUGGCCAGGUUGGUCAUGAAAUAUUUUCUAAUUUGAAAUCUUUGGUGGUGCGAAAUUGCCAGUGGCUUUCGAGUAUUCUUCUUUCUGGAAGCAUGCUAGAAGCUUUGUUCAACUUGGAAGAGCUUGAAGUGACUGAGUGUGAUACACUUGAAGCUGUGUUUGAUUUGGGCGAUAUGAAUGGAAGAGGAAGGAUGGCGAGAGAAACUAUUCAGCUGAAAAAAAUGAGACUUGAUAGUCUGCCAAAACUGAAGCGCAUGUGGAAACAUGAUUCCUGUGAAAUUGCUAGUCUGGGUAAUUCAAGCGAUGUUUGUGCCGGUGAAUGCCAAUCAUCAAAUGGAGAAGAAAGGGUCGAUUUCAAAAGUUCGGAUCAUUUGAAGCUCAUUGCAUCGAAUUUGUUGACAUUGCUAUAUUCAUUGGAGGAACUAGAAGUGAACGAUUGUGAUUCCUUAGAAACAGUGUUUGAUGUGAAGGUCAUGGACGACACAGAAAUGCAUGUAAAGGAAGAAAGUCAAUUGAAAAAGCUUACUCUCUUGGGACUGCCAAAUCUGAAACAUAUAUGGAAUAGAGACCUUCCAAAAAUACUCAGUUUCAAAAAUUUGCAGAUAUUGACAAUUGCAGGAUGCCUGAACCUGAAACACGUGUUUUCGGUAACAUUAUGCCAAGAUCUGCAGCGACUUCAAGAGCUUUCCAUGCUUCAUUGUGGCAUUGAGGAAAUUGUUGCAAUUGAAGGAGAAGGACUAGAUGAUCUUGAGUUUGAUUUUCCAAAGCUGACUUCCUUCAUGCUAUGUUGGUUGUCACGAUUGAAGAAUUUUUAUCCAAGAAGACAUAAGUUAGCAUGUCCUUCAUUGGAGACAUUAGAUGUCUGUGGUUGUGAAGAAUUGGAAAUAUUUGACUUUAGCCAUUUGGAUUCCCAGCAUACAUCUACGGUGGACGAAAUUGACAUGCCGAUUCAACAACCACUCUUUUCUUUUAAAGUGGUGUCACCGACUUUAAAAGAUUUUGCAUUAAAUGGAAAAGAUUCUAUGAAGAUACUGGAUAGUCAUCAUGAGGCAAGUCUCUUUCCUGGUGUAGAGGUGCUUCGACUACAAUGCUUUCAAGAAACUCCAAUAAUGUGGCUAAAUAGGUUCCUUGAAAAAUUCCCUAACAUUACAACACUUGAAGUGCGUUGUAGCACUUUUAAAAUACUUUUUCCUUCCGAGGAAGUUGGUUAUGGUAGUUCUAAAACUCCCAACCGGUUAAAAAAGUUGUGGCUUUUUCAGUUGGAGCAGCUUGAGCAGAUAGGGAAUGAUUACGACUCUCUGUCAGAUGUCCUUGAAGUACUCAGUGUGACGUGUUGUCCGAGUUUAACAAGCUUGGGACCACCUUCAAUAUCUUUCACUAGUUUAACCCACUUAAAAGUGGAGGACUGCAAAGGGAUGACCUUUUUAAUGACAGCUUCCACCGCUAGAAGUCUUGUGCACCUCAAAAAGUGGCGGAUAAUAAACUGUGGGAUGAUGGAGGAAGCUGUGAUGAUCGAUGAAGGAACACCAGAAGAGAUCACAUUUGAAAGCUUAGAAUAUUUUGAAAUGACUUCUUUACCCUCUCUCAAAAGCUUCUGCUCUGGCAAACCCACACUUGUAUUCCCAUCAUUUGAAUUAUUAAAAGUGAGAGGAUGCCCCAAAAUGCAGAAUUUCUCAUCGGGAGACAUUAUAGCCCCUGCGAUUCAAAUAGAAAUAGAAAAUGGAACAAUGAAUUGGACAGAAGACCUUAAUACUACUAUCAAACAGCUGGUCACGGGACAGUUUUACCUCUGAGCUUUGAAGAGUUGCUGCCACGGUUCACAGCUUCAAGGCAAUUAGAACUUGGCUUGGCUAACCCUACAAUCUCAUUUUCUUAGGCCCUCCAAUUAAGCGAAUACAAGGAUAAAGUUGAGGAAGUUUCAGAUUUUGAUGACAGCAAAUAGUCAAAGCGAUGAAGUAUCUGCAACAUAUGAAGAUGAUCCAUUUUAUUCUCUUUUCUUAUGCUUGUGUAUUUGUCAUUUAUGUUUGAGAUUUUCUUUCAGUGAAAAAGGAAAAGGGAAAGAAAAAUUGGUGGUCUAUAGUAAAUUACAGCUUGCUCCUUUAACAAUACUGGAUUGAUGAAUUUUUCAAUUUACAUUAUGAAGAGUAAAAUGUACUAUUGUACCCGGACAAA